GGGAGCCCGAGANNNGGCACUGAGACAAGGGCCCAGGCCCUACGGGGCGCAGCAGUCGCGAAAACUCCGCAAUGCGCGAAAGCGUGACGGGGCUACCCCGAGUGCCGUCCGCUGAGGAUGGCUUUUCCCCGGUGUAAUGAGCCGGGGGAAUAAGGAGAGGGCAAGACUGGUGUCAGCCGCCGCGGUAAUACCAGCUCUCCGAGUGGUAGGGAUGAUUAUUGGGCUUAAAGCGUCCGUAGCCGGCUUAGCAAGUCUCCUGUCAAAUUCAGCGACCUAAUCGUUGAGCCGCGGGAGAGACUACUAGGCUAGGAGGCGGGAGAGGCCGACGGUAUUCUCGGGGUAGGGGUGAAAUCCUAUAAUCCCGGGAGGACCACCAGUGGCGAAGGCUGUCGGCUAGAACGCGCUCGACGGUGAGGGACGAAAGCUGGGGGAGCGAACCGGAUUAGAUACCCGGGUAGUCCCAGCUGUAAACGAUGCGGGCUAGGUGUUGGGGUGGCUACGAGCCACUUCAGUGCCGCAGGGAAGCCAUUAAGCCCGCCGCCUGGG
rnacentral:rRNA from 1 species